GUAGGAGGGGCCAGGUGAGGACGCAAAGGAUGGGCUGAGACCUGCUCCUGUGCCUAUCGCAGCCUCAUAGCCCACAGUUCCUUUAAAGGUGCAUGAAUUCGUGAACUGGGUCCCUAGUUAUAGAAUAAAAACCAACUGUGUUCCAGUCCAAGAAGAAAAAUAAAUUACAAGCAAGUCAGAAUAGGAAAAAUAAAAUAAAAUGUUAAAAUGAAAAGGCAAGGUCAGGGGAAUGGGAGGAAAGUAGUAGAAUAGUUCAAUCCCAACUUCUUAAAGAUCUUUGAGGUGUGUGUGUGUGUGUGUGUGUGUGUGUGUGUGUGUUUCUUUGAGUAGUUUUUACUUCUCUACAUAGCAAACUGAAGCCCUGCGGUUUAUGCUUGACUUCCAUAGGGCCUCUCCACUACUUCCUUUGUGGAAAGAAGGGCUGGUUGGACAACAUGUUCAUUUUUUAUUGUUUCAUUACUUGCAAAAUGUUCUUGAGCAAACUCAGCUUGAUGGGUUAGUGUACAGGUUGGUGUGUUUCAAACCAUCCCUUUGGAGAUUGGGGGUAUUACUGCCCUGCAUGUAGCAAUCUUGUUUCAAACUUGAGCUUUCCAGUGGGCAUGGUCAAGAUAUGAUUAUGUUGACUUGGUUAUGUUAGGAUUUGCUUCAAUUAUGCAAAGAAGGUGUUUUGUGUUUUUUAAAUCAGCUGUGGCCAAGUCAGUGAAAGUAAGACCAAGUUAGUAAUAAAAUGAGGAGACACUAACAUCAAGGUGGUUGAGAAGGGAACUCAGUGUUUGGGCUGUUGUCAGUGCCGAGGCAUCCUGUAGUCCAAGGUCAAAGGUCUAAGGAGCAGGAGAAGCCACAGGCCUGGAGAGAGACAGGGACCAAUGUCAAGGCCUCACGUGUGCCCUGCCUGCCCCCAGUCAUUUUGAUAUGGAAAAGCCAAAGGAUUACUAGAGAGGUUAAAUUUUUCACAUGUCAAAAAAGUGAGGUUAGUUUUCAGGAGAGGUAGCAAAGACUAGUAGGAAUAAGAGGCAGAGCUCUCUUGCUUGCUAACGCUGUGGCCUUAGGCAAACCACUUAACCUCUUUGGGUUUUAAUUUUACAAAUGGAAGACUUAGAAGAUAGCCCAAGUUGGUUCAUCAUAAAGCUGAUGGACAUUCUAUUGAGAUCCUCCCCUAAGACCUCCCCUAACUCCAAGCCUUUAGAACCUUAAAAUGAAGGUUCCGGGGAAAUGCUCCCUCACAGGAGCAUACAGGUGCCUCCUCUCCCCUGCUCUCAACUUCCCCCACAGGCAUGCAUCUCCUAAACUCUAAGGAACUUCAGGAGACAUGUAACCAGGGCAGCAAUGGGCAGUGACAGUUCAUCCCAAGCUAAUCCCCUGAACCUGUUCCCGAGGCCCCCUUUUCACUGACUUUUUUCAAAAAUAUGUUUUUAUUGAUUUUAGAGAGAGAGGAAGGGAGAGGUUGAGAGAUAGAAACAUUGAUGCAUCAGCAUUGGUCAGCUGCCUCCUGCACACCCCUUGCUGGGGAUCCAGCCAGAAAUUCCGGCAUGUGCCCUGACCUGGAAUCGAACCUGGACUUCUUGAUAUCUUGAUACAUGGGUUAAUGCUCAGCCACUGAGCCACAUCAGCCAAGCUUCACUGACUUCUUAGUGAGUCAAAGCAGACCAGCCUAGGCCCAUUUCUCCAGCUCUUCCUUGUUUCACCGUCUGCAGCUUUAAUAAACGUCCUCUAAACUUCA